rnacentral:rRNA from 1 species
UGCCUAAUACAUGCAAGUCGAACGAAGCUUUCUUUCACCGAAUGCUUGCAUUCACCGAAAGAAGCUUAGUGGCGAACGGGUGAGUAACACGUAGGCAACCUGCCCAAAAGAGGGGGAUAACACUUGGAAACAGGUGCUAAUACCGCAUAACCAUGAACACCGCAUGAUGUUCAUGUAAAAGACGGCUUUUGCUGUCACUUUUGGAUGGGCCUGCGGCGUAUUAACUUGUUGGUGGGGUAACGGCCUACCAAGGUGAUGAUACGUAGCCGAACUGAGAGGUUGAUCGGCCACAUUGGGACUGAAACACGGCCCAAAC